CCUACGGGGCGCAGCAGUGGGGAAUAUUGCACAAUGGGGGAAACCCUGAUGCAGCGACGCCGCGUGAGUGAAGAAGUAUUUCGGUACGUAAAGCUCUAUCAGCAGGGAAGAAAAUGACGGUACCUGACUAAGAAGCCCCGGCUAACUACGUGCCAGCAGCCGCGGUAAUACGUAUGGUGCAAGCGUUAUCCGGAUUUACUGGGUGUAAAGGGAGCGCAGGCGGCACGCUAAGCCUGAUGUGAAAACCCGCGGCCCAACCGCGGGAGUGCAUUGGGAACUGGCGGGCUGGAGUACCGGAGGGGCAG
rnacentral:rRNA from 1 species